rnacentral:rRNA from 1 species
CAGGUAGAACCGAAAGGGUGUCUGGGAUUCAGCUUGGAUCUGUGGUUUGACUCGAAUAGUAUCGAUAUUACUGAAUACGCUAGCCGUUGAGCGAACUGUCAGUUCUGAGUGCAUUUUCUGGGUGUCCGUACUGCGGUCGGUGACACGAUCAUUUGCUGUGGCUUGCUGGUAGCGUGCUUUUGUGCGUAGCAGGUCAUGGUGACAUGGUUAUACAUCGGAAGCGUAGGUGAGCUCGUUGGGAGUGUGCGUGGUUCUUUGUUCUGUCAAGACUUCUUUGAAGUCAGAUGGUUUAGAGGGCUAUUCACGUUUCAUAUGGGUUUGCUAGCAUGAUCGCAGUAAACACGUAGGUAAUCUACCUGACCCGUCUUGAAACACGGACCAAGGAGUCUAGCACGAACACAAGUCAUUGAGUUUUACGAAACUUAAAGGCAAAGUGAAAGCAAAUGGUUGCGUAAGUAGCCUGAGUUCAGAACUCUGUGUAAACAGUGGUGCAUGAACGGGCCGUUGUAAAAUGCUUUGCAUUGCAGCGGACCUAGAGUGUCCUUGCUGGGACCCGAAAGAUGGUGAACUAUGCUUGUACAGGUUGAAGCCAGAAGAAAUUCUGGUGGAGGACCGUAGAAGUUCUGACGUGCAAAUCGAUUUUCUGAUAUGAGUAUAGGGGCGAAAGACUAAUCGAACCAUCUAGUAGCUGGUUCCUUCCGAAGUUUCCCUCAGGAUAGCAGUCAUUCAAAUGAAACAGUUUUAUCCGGUAAAGCGAAUGAUUAGAGGGACUGGGAACAAAUUGUUCUCAACCUAUUCUCAAACUUUAAAUGGGUGAGAAGUCUAACUUUCUUAAUUGAAGUUGGACAUUGAAUGUGAACGACUAGUGGACCGUUUUUGGUAAGCAGAACCGGAGCUGUGGGAUGAACCAAACGUGGAUUAAAGUUGCCGUAGCUUAACGCUCAUAAGACACCACAAAAGUUGUUGGUUGGUAUAGACAGCAGGACGGUGGACACGGAAGUUGUAAUCCGCUAAGGAGUGUGUAACAACUCACCUGCCGAAUCAACCAGCGCUGAAAAUUGAUGGCGCUUUAGCGUUAUAACUAUAAUCCACUGGCAUUGUGAAUACUUUGGCAGCAAUGUCAAGUAGGAAGGUCAUUGUAGUAGCGUUGAAGCUUUAGUCGUCA